UAAUACGGAGGGCGCAAGCGUUGUUCGGAAUCACUGGGCGUAAAGCGCGUGUAGGCGGCUUGACAAGUCGGCUGUGAAAUCCCGGGGCUCAACCCCGGAACUGCAUCCGAAACUGUCAAGCUAGAGUCCCGGAGAGGGUGGCGGAAUUUCCGGUGUAGAGGUGAAAUUCGUAGAUAUCAGGAGGAAUACCGGUGGCGAAGGCGGCCGGCUGGGGCCACUCUGACGCUGAGGCGCGAAAGCGUGGGGAGCAAACAGGAUUAGAUACCCUGGUAGUCCACGCCGUAAACGAUGAGUGCUAGCCGUUUGGAGGUUACCUUCAAGUGGUGCAGUUAACGCGUUAAGCACUCCGCCUGGGGAGUACGAUCGCAAGAUUA
rnacentral:rRNA from 1 species